UACUUAUACAUGGAAGAAACAACAAUAAAAUGACUAUGUCUGUUCCUGUUGUUUGCUAGAUUUGAGUAUGAGAAGUAUAAUUCACUUGUAGUCAAAGGAGGUUUUUGUAAUGUAUAUUUAAAAGCAAAAUUUGACACAAAGCAAGAGAUGAUGUCAAGCAACCUUUUCUUUUUGAAUGUAGUGCCCUUCUGCUAGAACUAAGAUGCAGAUAAUAUAAAAUGCAAUUCUGAGAACCUUACAGGAAUGCUGUUGAAGAGCAAGUAUAAAUUAUGAUGAAUUUAUGCAUUUGUGAAGAUUAACUUGAAGAGAAUACAGAGAUGGUUGCCUUUGGGAUGGAUGAAAGCUGCUGUGCUCACUGUGCUAUAUACAGAGCAAGUAACCCACUUUACAAGAAGAAAACUUCUGUGAUCAAGACAUGAAGAAAGAUGGCAACAACAGACGAAGUAUUGCUCUCAGAAGCAUUCUGAAAGAGCCAUUCCACAGGUGAACAAUCAUUAUGGAAAAGGGGUAUUUCCAGGGCAACUUGUUUCUAUGAUACUAGUGCCAUAUGCAUUUGACCAUAGUAUAGAUUUAGGCCUUGGAUUUCAGUGGCCUUUCAGUAUAGCCUUUGACUGUAUACACUGCCACAGCACUGUUUUCAAAAGCAGGUCCUUCAUGGAAUCCUUCAGCAGCACUAAUGAGGACACCAGCGUCUAUAUCCCAAUGGAUGUAGCCUCCCAGUUUCUUUCCUUGGGCCAGAUCACCUCUUACAACCUGCUGCUAAGGCACCCAGGACAACAACAACAGGAAAUUCCUCCAGUCUUUCCUCCAGCUGUGAUUGCUUGAUGACAGUGCCCCAUCUUACCCAGAGAUCAUUGUUGUGCACCAGCUCUGCACCUGAGGUUGCUGUAUGAAUUACACCCUGAAGCAGACACUACCAUACUGAGAAAUGUUCCAAGCAGAACAAUUCUCUAUUUCACUGAUAUCAGUUGAAAAAUGAAUGUCACUGCAAUUUAUUAAUCCUGACAUUGGCUCUCCAUGAAAUACAAAGUCAUAUUCCAUGUCUCAGUGUUAAUCUUUAAUAUCCACAAAGGAGUUGGCACAGAUGGUCAAGACAGUUUCUCCCUGAUGGGAGUGAAAUCCUGAAACAGCUGCUUUCCAAAGAAGCUAUGAAAAUGUCACUUUUGAGGCUGACGGUGGAAAUGAGAAGAAAAGGGGGGCAUUUUGACUCUAGAGUUGUCCUGACUCUAGGGUGGGAAGGUCAGGAAGGCUGGGCCCUUGCAAUAUUCAGCACAAAAUGUGCAUCCUCAACAUGGCUUGCUGCACGGCUUGCUGCACAAAUGGGAAGGAGAAGGGGCCUAAUCGACACAGAAGCAGAAGUGAGAGCAGGGAACAGAGUUCAGGGAAAAAAUGUAAUUUAUGUUAUUGUGGAAGAUAUAUCUAGCCAGACUGAAAGAUAAGUAUCUAAAUUUUAUGUUAUUUCUCUUUUCUUGCUAAAUCCUCAGGUUGAUGGAGUCUUUCAGUACUCUUGUAUUCACUGUUCUUCCACUGACAGAAAAUAGUGUCUUGCCACUAUGUGAAGACACAGAUAUCUGUAUUUUGUCCACUGCUGAAGAAUUAAGCCCUUAUUUUGUGCGCCUUAGGUGAAAAAAAAAAGGACUGUGUGGCUUUUACUCAUAUUCAUUUAAUUACAGAUAAGAGAGUUGAAAAAAAUGUAGUAAAGGAAAAAAUUUGGAUUAAAAUCAAACACACCUAAAAAGUUCUGUGUCUUUAAGAUCCUGAGGGAAAACAGGGAUGUAAGAUAUUGUUAUGACAAGACAAUUUAUGCAUUUAAAUUGUGCAUUUU
rnacentral:lncRNA from 1 species